CCCUUAGAUGUUCUGGGCCGCACGCGCGCUACACUGAUGCAUUCAACGAGCCUAGCCUUGACCGAGAGGUCCGGGUAAUCUUUGAAACUGCAUCGUGAUGGGGCUAGAUUAUUGCAAUUAUUAAUCUUCAACGAGGAAUGCCUAGUAAGCGUGAUUCAUCAAAUCGCGUUGAUUACGUCCCUGCCCUUUGUACACACCGCCCGUCGCUCCUACCGAUUGAGUGUGUUGGUGAGGAGUUCGGAUUGGCUCUUAGUGGUGGUUCGCCACCACCUAGAGCUGAGAAGUUCUCCAAACCGCCCCACUUAGAGGAAGGAGAANUCGUAACA
rnacentral:rRNA from 1 species